AGAGUUUGAUCCUGGCUCAGAACGAACGCUGGCGGCGUGGCUAAAACAUGCAAGUCGCACGAGAAUUCCGGGGCAACUCGGAUAGUAAAGUGGCGAAAGGGUGAGUAAUGCAUGGGUAACGUGCCUUUAGCACAGGGACAGCUGCGGGAAACUGCAGGUAAUACCUGAUGAGACCACAGUAUCACAUGGUACAGCGGUCAAAGGACGGGGAUCCGAAAGGACCUGUUGGCUUUAGAGCGGCCCAUGUCCUAUCAGCUAGUUGGUGAGGUAACGGCCCACCAAGGCAUCGACGGGUAGCGGGACUGAGAGGUCGACCCGCCACAUUGGCACUGAGACACUGGCCAGACUCCUACGGGAGGCUGCAGUAACGAAUCUUCCGCAAUGGGCGAAAGCCUGACGGAGCGACGCCGCGUGCAGGAGGAAGUCCUUCGGGAUGUAAACUGCUGUCAGUGGUUACCAAGCGAGUGCGCCUAACAUGCGCGCAAGUUGAGGAACCGCAGAGGAAGCCACGGCUAACUUCGUGCCAGCAGCCGCGGUAAGACGAAGGUGGCAAGCGUUGUUCGGAAUCACUGGGCUUAAAGAGCACGUAGGCGGCCCGCUAAGUGCCUUGUGAAAUCCCUCGGCUCAACCGAGGAAUUGCUUGGCAUACUGGCAGGCUUGAGGCAGGUAUGGGUGGGUGGAACUCUUGGUGGAGCGGUGAAAUGCGUAGAUAUCAAGAGGAACGCCGGCGGUGAAGACGACCCACUAGGCCUGUCCUGACGCUGAGGUGCGAAAGCCAGGGGAGCAAACGGGAUUAGAUACCCCGGUAGUCCUGGCCCUAAACGAUGUCCACUAGGUCGGAGUCACUCUGACGUGUCUCUGGCCGGAAUAAAAACGUUAAGUGGACCGCCUGGGGAGUACGGUCGCAAGGCUAAAACUCAAAGGAAUUGACGGGGGCUCACACAAGCGGUGGAGCAUGUUGCUCAAUUCGAUUCAACGCGCAGAACCUUAUCCUGGGCUUGACAUGUACGAGCCUCUACCUGGAAACAGGAUAGAGUUUCCCUUCGGGGUGUAAGCGUACACAGGUGCUGCAUGGCUGUCGUCAGCUCGUGUCGUGAGAUGUCGGGUUAAGUCCCAUAACGAGCGAAACCCUUGUCGCUAGUUGCCAGCGGGUAAUGCCGGGGACUCUAGCGAGACUGCCGGUGUUAAACCGGAGGAAGGCGGGGAUGACGUCAAGUCCUCAUGGCCUUUAUGCCCAGGGCUGCAAACGUGCUACAAUGGCGGAUACAAACCGACGCAAAACCGUGAGGUCGAGCAAAUCGGAAAAAGUCCGCCCCAGUUCAGAUUGAAGUCUGAAACCCGACUUCAUGAAGUUGGAAUCGCUAGUAAUCGCGGAUCAGAACGCCGCGGUGAAUGUGUUCCUGAGCCUUGUACACACCGCCCGUCAAGUCAUGGGAGCCGGUAGCACCCGAAGUCGCCUCGAUUCAGAGGUGCCGAAGGUGAGAUCGGUGACUGGGACUAAGUCGUAACAAGGUA
rnacentral:rRNA from 1 species